GUGUCAAACAUCUUUCGGUGACUGUUUAAAACCACAUUCCACCAGUUAUUUAAAAAAAAAACCUCAAAACCACAACGGUAAAAGAGCACCAGGCUCUGUAAUUUGACUUGAAUUCCUCAGGUUCAACAGGCAAGUUCAGUACGGUAAAGUAAUCUGAGGUUUUCGCCUACUUUUUAAAUUUAAGACCAAAUAACCCGCCUGACACUGAUGCUGAUAAUAAGUGUUUUGCGUUUCCGAAAUUUAGGUUGUUUUGGAUUCAUUUCGAGGACGGCUGUUCCAUUAAUCUUAACUGUAGGCAGAUAAACAACCAAAUUGAAACGAUGGAAUUGGAUUAACAACCGACCGAACAGUUUGGAAGUGCAGGAAACAAAUUUGAAUUCAUCCGUGGCCUUCAUGGAAAAUACUACUUAAUACCUCAAAAAACCUUCCAAUGGAGCUCUUCCGUUUAUUUGCAGGAACCGGAACAUUCUGCUUACCAGCUUGGUUAAAGUUGGCUGAAUACCAGUUGGUGCCAUUAUCGAUGACGGAUCUAUGGUUGGAGCUGAUGCCAAUGCUGU